rnacentral:tRNA from 1 species
GCUUCCAUGGUGAAAUUGGUAGACACGGCAGAUUCAAAAUCUUUUGUCGUUUGACGUGCUGGUUCGAAUCCGGCUGGAAGUA